rnacentral:rRNA from 1 species
UACGAGUGCCUCAAGCGUUAUCCGGAAUUAUUGGGCGUAAAGGAUGUGUAGGUGGUCGUGUUAGUCUCUUGUUAAAUUCUUCGGCUUAACCGGGGACCUGCAAGGGAAACGGCACGACUAGAGGAUGCGAGGGGUCUGCGGAACUCAUAGUGUAGCGGUGAAAUGCGUUGAUAUUAUGGGGAACACCAAAAGCGAAGGCAGCAGACUGGAGCACUCCUGACACUGAAACAUGAAAGCGUGGGUAGCGAAUGGG